GGUUGGGAGUGUGGUUUGGCUGUGACUCCUGUCACCCCACUGAUCCCCAGGGUUGAUUUGACUGAUCACACUGGCUAAGGGGUGUCCCUUUCCUUCCUCACUGCUCCAUGCAUGUCCCUACUUAUCACAGAGGACAACCUUCUCCCACAGAGGAGGACCAUUCGUUGGUCAAGGAUGUACAAGCAUCCGUGUUCCUCUGCUAGAACCUCCAAAUAAGUUCUCAAAGUAAGACUUCCAGUGUAGGGAAAAGGUCUUUUAUUUUGCCUUACUGACAUUUACUCUUAUAU
rnacentral:snRNA from 1 species